UAUGAGGCAUAAUGUGAGGCAUGGAAAAGAGGAAGCAAAGGAAGGAAAAGGAGUUGAGGGAUUUAUGUCGCAGGAGAGAUGGCCCAAGCUGGGUUAUAUAUGCAAUGCAAAGGAUCGGCUAGCUAGGGUCAUCUCUUCCUCGACACAAAUCUCUUCAACUUCUAAUUAGAAGGUGCAUGUAUCAAAAUUCACAAAGAUGAUGAUUCAAGUGAGCUGGAAAAUAGAAAUGAGGUUAUAGUGGAGCUCCUGUCGCAGGAGAGGUGGCACCUAGUGCAUGAAAAACAGCAAUAGGCACCAUCUCUCCUGGACCGGAUGCCCCACUCCGACCUCUAUACCAUGCACAUUGCGUUGCUUGGAAUAGGUUAUGCACGAGUAUAUAUUGCCAUGUACUAAGGGUGGUAACUAUGGAUGGCAUGCUUAUGAGGGCCAUGCAUUUCUUUUCAAAACCCCCCAACUUCUCUUGGGGUACGUCUAUGACCUCCACGACCCAAUAUUCCCUACAUUAAUGGUGCUGGUAAGAUCUCCAUUAAUCACAAGAAGCUACUUUCACCAGAAUCCCUAUAUCGAUUCAGGCAUGUAGAGCUAGAGACCUCAAGUCAGUGUAUCAACGCUCAAGAAGAACGAAGAAAUACAAUCGUUUUUGGAGAUGUUAAUUUCAAAAACAAAACUGUGCCGUUGCAAUUUAACCAAACUAUGUCGUAUAAAAUGUUUGUUAGUUGGAUUUCCCUCUUAUUGUCUGUUAGCAACUCUGUUAGUAUAUAAUGUAAAACAGAGGCUAACAAUCUGAUUCUUGAUUUGUAAAAUUCAAAUUUUCAAUAAUAGAAAUUCAGUUUAGAUUC